rnacentral:lncRNA from 1 species
ACGACCCAUCUGUUCUUAAUGGUGUCGCCAUACAGCUAGUUACGACCCAUCUGUUCAGAAUGAUGUCACCAUACAGCUAGUUACGACCCAUCUGUUCUUAAUGUCACCAUACAGCUAGUUACGACCCACCUGUUCCUAAUGUCGCCAUACAGCUAGUUACGACCCACCUGUUCAGAAUGAUGUCGCCGUACAGCUAGUUACGACCCACCUCUUCUUAUUGUCACCAAUACAGCUAGUUACGACCCAUCUGUUCUUAUUGUCACCAUACAGCUAGUUACGACCCAUCUGUUCUUUAUAACACCAUACAGCUAGUUACGACCCAUCUGUUCUUAAUGUCGCCAUACAGCGACCCAGCU